rnacentral:lncRNA from 1 species
UAUUAAAAAGUAAUUUCAGGUAAAUUUUCCUUUCUUUUCUUUUUCUUUUUCCAUUGUGAUUGAGGGAACAUUUACCCUGCCCGCCCCAUCAUACACCCCAGCGUAUCAUUAUGAACAGACACUGAGGACAAGCAUGAAAUAAAGAAAACACUUCAGGAAACCACAGAGAGGUCUGGCUGGCAGGGAGCAGCCUUGGCCUGCUGAGUCCUCACAGCUUGCUAACCAGUUGGCUUUCUGGAGCCAUCAAACUAAGGCAGUGCCUGGAGCUUCUAGUAAGGUGCAGAUUCGGACAGAGGUGGAAAAGCAAAAGACCAAGGGAGGCCAAGUUGCUCUUCAAGAAGAUGAACAAGGAAAAACAAGUAUUUGGAAGUCAUCAGAAAAAAUGAAAAGUUGGGGCACCUGGAUCGCUCAGUGGGUUAAGCCUCUGCCUUCGGCUUGGGUCAUGAUCUUGGGGUCCUGGGAUUGAGCCCUGCGUUAGGCUCUCUGCUCGGCGGCGAGCCUGCUUCCCCCUCUCUCUCUG